CUGUAGAGACAAGGUCUCACCAUGUUGCCCAGCCUGGUCUUGAACUGAGCUCAAGCAAUCCUCCCUCCUCAGCCUCGUAAAGUGUUGGAAUUACAGGCAUGAGCCACCAUGCCUGGUGAUUUACAGAUUCUUCGGGUAGACUGAGAAGCAAGUCAGGUGUUACUCCCUUGUUCCCUAACUCUUCAAAUACUUUUCUAUCCACUUGCUCUUCCUGUCUCCCUUUAAAUGCCUGCUAUAACCUUUUUAUUUUCCACUUUAGACUAUAUUUCCUUACUCAUAUAACAUUCUACACACAGGUCCUGUGCAUCUCACCUUUAUUUUUAUUUUUUAGAGACAAGUCUUGCUCUGUUGCCCAGGCUGGAGUGCAGUGGCAUGAUCAUAGCUCACUGUAACCUUGAACUCCUAGGCUCAAGGCAUCCUCCUGCCUCAGCCUCCCGAGUAGCUAGGACUUUAGGUGUGUGCCAUCAUGCUCAGCUAAUUAAAAAAAAAUUUUUUUGUGCAGAUGGCGUCUUGCUGUGUUGCCCAGGCUAGCUUUGAACGCCUGGCCUCAAGCAAUUCUCCUGCCUCAGCCUCCCAAAGCACUAGGAUUACAGGCGUGGUGGCAGGCGCCUGUAAUCCCAGCUACUCAGGAGGCUGAGGCCGGAGAAUUGCUUGAACCUGGGAGGUGGAGGUUGCAGUGAGCCGAGAUUACGCCAUUGCACUCCAGCCUGGAGACAGAGUGAGACUCUGUCUCAAAAAAAAAAAAAAAGGCCGGGCGCGGUGGCUCACGCCUGUAAUCCCAGCACUUUGGGAGGCUGAGGCAGGCGGAUUACCUGAGGUCAGGAGUUCGAGACCAGCCUGACCAACAUGGAGAAACCUCGUCUCUACUAAAAAUACAAAAUUAGCUGGGCGUGGUGGCGCAUGCCUGUAAUCCCAGCUACUUGGGAGGCUGAGGCAGGAGAAUCGCUUGAACCCGGGAGGCAGAGGUUGUGGUGAGCCGAGAUCGCACCGCUGCACUCCAGCCUGGGCAACAGAGCGAAACUCUGUCUCAAAUAAAUAAAUAAAUAAAUAAAUAAAUAAAAUUAAAGUCUUGAUAUAUUUUUCUGGUUACAGGUAUUUUUUUACCUUCCCUUUUAAACUCGAAGUUCCCAGAAAAUAAAGGCCAGUAAAUACCAUGCCAGGCUUCACUUAGAAGAAGGCAGCUCUAAAACAACCAUCAUCAACCCUGCUGAAGCUGUGCCGUUUCUCUGGUUGUCUGACAUCAUGACAUCACACCCUCUUUCUCCAGUGCCGUGGCUGCUAACAUAUAAUGGAAAGAGCUCUGG
rnacentral:lncRNA from 10 species